rnacentral:rRNA from 1 species
UGGCUCAUUACAACAGCCGUCGUUUCUUGGAUCUCUAAUUUUACUUGGAUAACUGUGGUAAUUCUAGAGCUAAUACACGCACUAAAGCUCUGACCUUAUGGGACGAGCGCAUUUAUUAGAACAAAACCAAUCGGGUUUCGGCCCGUUCGUUGGUGACUCUGAAUAACUCUGCCGAUCGCACGGUCUCGCACUGGCGACGUAUCUUUCAAGUGU